CUACUAUCACUGAGGUUGCUACUUUAAUUCUGAUGCACUUCGUCCCUGCCCCUGCUCACCGUUGUCGUUUGUUCUACCGCUGCUUUUGAUUUUUGCAGACGCCAAAGCCUCUGCCACAGAGUAUUGCUGUUGGAAUCGCCGAAAACCCUUACUGUCUAGGCUAGCAUUGUUGAUCUAUUCUGCCUUCCCCUGUUAAUGAACCACUUGAAAGCAUAUAUGUGGAUCUUGGCUUUAGGGGAAAUACCUUGGCAGAAGGUCUGGUGGUGAGCAUAUGUCUUGGUGGUGCGUUAAUUAGAAGUCUAUUCAGUGGCUGGAUUGCUGAUGCAGAUGAGCAUUGUAGGGCUUUCCAGAGUAAAUUUUUGCAUGAAAUUUCUCAUUCCAAAUUUACCAAAGAAAUAUAUAUGGGGACUACUAAAUCAUUUUGAUUUCACUCAAUCAAAACACGUCACUUUAUAAAUGUCAUGUAGAUGAUAUGAUAUCACUAUUUUUUGUCUUAAUGAUAGAUUAGGAAUUUUAA